rnacentral:rRNA from 1 species
AGUGAACGCUGGCGGUAGGCCUAACACAUGCAAGUCGAACGGAAACACAGUAAGAUCUUGCUCUUACCGUUGGCGAGUGGCGGACGGGUGAGGAAUACAUCGGCAUCUACUUUUUCUUGGGGGAUUACGUAGGGAAACUUACACUAAUACCUCAUACGACCUACGGGUUAAAUCAAGAGAUCUUCGCACCUUUCGCGAUUCAAUUAGCCGAUGCCGGAUUAGCUAGUUGGCUAGGUAAAGGCACACCAAGGCAACGAUCCGUAGCUGGUCUGAGAGGAUGAUCAGCCACACUGGAACUGAGACACGGUCCAGACUCCUACGGGAGGCAGCAGUAGGGAAUAUUGGACAAUGGGCGCAAGCCUGAUGGAGCCACACCGCGUGGGUGAAGAAGGCCUUCGGGUUGUAAAGCCCUUUUGUUGGGAAAGAAAAGAAGCAGGUUAAUACACCGCUGUUCUGACGGUACCCAAAGAAUAAGCCCCGGCUAACUUCGUG